AUGGAGGAAGUAUGUUACUAACUCCCAAAAACACAUAAAAAGACGAUAAAGAAAAUUUAACUUUAAAAUUCGAGACUUUGCAUAAGUUGUUGUAUCUCGGAGCAUAAGUUGUUAAGGUUAUUUGAGAUUGGCCCCAAUUUGAUUUUUAUUGUUCCUGAUUUGGAAAUUUGGGAUUUAGGGUUUAGGGUUUGGAGUAGGGUUAUCUGUUUGUUUGUCCUCCUUUUGUCAGAGUUUGUUUGAUAAUUGAAGAUUCUCUAGGCAUAAUUGGAUUAAUUGAUGUACUUUGGUACCGAGUUAAGGUUAUUGUUUCAAGAGAUUUUUUUUGAUAAUUUUGAGCUCUAGUUCAAUGCUUUUGGUGUUUUUGAGUUAAAGGCCUAUAAUUUGUCGCUAGACUAUAAUAGGAACUCGUAGGAUGUUAUUAUCUUGAUUUAAUUCACAGAAAGUGGGUAAUCAUUAUACUCUGCCUAUUAGGUAGCAUUGCAUAUUUAGUAUUUUUUUAUACUCUGCCUAUAGUCAUAGCAUUGCAUAUUUAGUAUUUUUUUUAUGCUAAUGUAGCCAUAAUAUAGCACAUUGUAGCUAUGGCAAUUAGUGUGAUGUCAUUUGAUGUGUAAGAGUUGAGCAAGUGGAGUCCAUCUGGGCGCAUAGCUGUUAUAUGCAUAUAGAAGGGCAUAAAGGUAAAUUAUCAGCCAUUGGUGAAAUAAAAAAACUCGCUCACUUCUUUUUGAUCCCGUUAUUUUUUGAAUUGUAACAGUUCCUCGUUUUUGGCAAUUUUAAUAUUAAAGGUGUUUUAUUUUCUCUUUCAUAGUUUCUAAGUUAGUCAAAUACUAUUUUCACUCUCUCUGUCAUAGGGGAUAUAUCGCAUGCAUUGGUUGCCGGCGGUGUAGAAUAAGGUGGUAGCCUGGUGCGGUGGUUUGAGGACAAAUAGUUUUCGAAGUUCGAAGUUUUCUGCGUUGUUCUAUUGAAGGUGAGGACAAAACCCGUAAAAACUCGGGAGGAUGAUGGCUCUAAAAAGAAAGUUGUUCCUAAAAGGAAGAAGAAGUUGAAGGUUGACCCUGUAUUUGAUCAAGAGGAUUACCAGAUUCAAAUAAUGAAAAGUUUGAUGAAAGUGCUUCUGGUGGUUGUAGUUCUAGUGACAAUGGUUUUGGUGAUGGUGAGUCAGAUGAUGUUGAGGAGGAUGAGUCAGAUGAGGUAUAGGAGAAAGAACCAGCAAAAGAGGGGUGGGAGGAUUUGCUUAUAGAGUUGAUGCAAGACAAAAUUGGAAGUGGAAAACGGAAGGGAGGUCCUUCUGUCAAAAAUAAAGGAAAGGAGAAGCAAAAGGUAUGGGUAGUUGGUUCAUUGGAAGUUUAGCUAAAUUUGUAGAUGAUGAGUUUAUGAAGGAAUUAAAAGUGUAAUGUUAUGACCAAGUACAGAAGACGAAGGGAGAGAAGGUGAUCGAGAAAAGGGUUGUGGUUAAAACCCAAUCACGAAAUACGCAGAAGGCCCCUAAACUGAAUGGUGUGAAGGCUUUCGGUAGUGUAGUAAAGUUGUUUGACCCUUCUAAGCAGAAGGUGGUCACAGAGAUGGGUUUUGGAGGUUUGUGAAGUAUACCACUUACACAUUUGCCCCAUAAAUUUGCUUAUUGGUUGUUGACAAGGGUUAUGGGAGAUGGUUCCUUAACUUUUAGAGAUGAGUAUGUGUUACCCUUGAGUGCUGUUAAGAUCCAAUGUGUACUUGAUUGGGAUUCCAAUAGGUUCCAAGGUAAUGCCUUCUAGUAUUCUUGAGGAUGAUUUGGAGAAGCAGGUGAAGUCGAAGAGGAAUACGGGGUUGUAUGCCAAGGGAGAUAGCAUUUCACUAGCUAAUGCGUUGUCUGCAUUGAUUCGGAAGGAUGCAGAAGGAAAUGUGGUGCCUCUGUCAAAUGCGGAGAAGGGUAAUUUCAAGGUAGCUUUUCUUGUAGUGACUCUGGGUUACAUAUUGUGUUCUACGACAAAUACAAGUCACCUUGCAGUGAAGCUUAUACUGGCGUUACUCCUGUAUGAUGAAACGGAGGAGUAUGACUGGUGCACUUUUAUAUAUAUAUGGAUGUGUACUGCGGCACGGAAUUUUCAAAAGAAAUUUGCUCGAGAAGGAUUUGUUGCUGGAUCAAGUGGAUGCAUUUUGUUCGUGUUGAUUUUUUAUCUUGAUCCCCUUAGUCGCAUCACUUUGUCGGGGUGUGAGACCGAGGUAGAAGGCAUGGUGUCAGGAAAAAAGCAGUGAAACUGUUGCUGAUGACAAAAAAGAAUCUAGUGACUAUGGAUGGCUGUCGUCGCUGGAUAUUGCUUAUGGUGAAGAACAUCCAUUGGAGCCUUGGGAUGUCUCAUCGCAUAGUAUUGUUGUCAAACAGGUUAUAUAGCAGGUGAUUGAAACGAUUACUCCAAAGCUGAUGUCUGCUAUAGACAGGAAGGCAGAUGAAGUUUUUUAAAAGUUCCACGGGAUGUUGUCUGUGUGUAUUAAAACAACCAACGGUUCAAGAAAAUCAAACUUGCCCAAGGAAAUUGUGAAGCAAGUAGAAGAUGAUGGUAAUGUGAAGGUGAUUGAUAAGAUGCAUGAAGUGGUGAACCCUACAACCAAAGAUGAAGGAGUUGUAGUAGAAGUGAUAGACAAUUCUUUGAUUGAGAAGGGUUUGCAAGCACAAGAUGCGUUAGGUCUUGAUAGUAAUGGUUCUCAGGCAUCUGAUGAUACAAUUUCAGGUGAAGGGGAUCUAGGUCGUGUGGUUGGAAAGAUUGCGGUUGAUCCAUAUUUUGCAGAGGUUGGGGUUGGGGUUGGGGUUGAGGCUGAGGGUGAUCAAGGUGUUGGCUCGGAGUUCUAUAGCUCUUCUGAUACUGAAGUGGAAGAUGAAAACAUUGUCCCUGGACCUCAAAUUGUUGUUGGUUUGGUUGGGAUGAGGGGAACUACUGUGUUGGUUGAUGCUUAGUGCAGUUUGCCAAAUUAUUCUUCAUCUGAACAAGAAGAUGAGUCUAUUGGGAAGGGGGGCGGAACUGUGGAUAAGAGGGUGGUGAAACCUACAGAAGUUGCCUUGUCAGCCAUGUUCACCAAUGUGUCAAACACCCGAAGGCAUACAACGCUCGAGGAACAUUUUCUCCAGUUUGUAAAGCGUUGGAAAGGCCUGAAGGAUCCACUUAGCCUUGGCACUGUCUUGAUAAAAUGUGACCACAUGGAAGCCAACCAAAGGGAUUUCUUUGAAGUAGUGCACCAUAAAUCGCGAGUGUCCAGUGAUUAUAUAAGAAUGGCUAGUGUGCUAUACACCAAGCAAUGGGAGACUAAAGACUUUGUGAAUAGAAGCAAGCGUAUUUUGCUUUACCUAAGCUUUGCAAUGCAACUUAUGUUGAAAGCAGGAAAUGAAGAACAUGUUGCUAAUAAGUAUGUCAAAGUUCUACUAAGUUCUAACCUUUCGCAGAUUUGAACGGUCUUUGUCCCAGUGCUUUAAGUUCCCAAGGAUUCCCCAAAUGACUCGCAGUGGUGGUGCUUAGCUUUGGACAUGAAGAGUCGAAAGUUAUGGAUGAUUGAUUCUAUGUACCCUGACUCGUUCACCAUGCAUGCCCCAGUGUUUAGUCUUCUGGUGUUAAUUUAUAUGCUUGUCAUGUUAAUAAACUAAACGAACAUGUUAGUUAGUGGGAACCAUUUGGUUAUGUGUAAUUUGUUUGUGAAAUCCACAGGUUAGUAGUAUCGAUGUCCUUUUUCAAAUGAGUGACUCAGAAUGGAAAACCGGUCAGCUAAAAUCUUGGACAAGAUGCACUGUUGAGAUCUUAGAGCCAAGGGAUAACUCAUAUUGUGGUGUCCUGAUGCUGGCUUGUAUCUAGUUCUUUUCUCGAAGAUUCACUAGUAGGUUCAGUGUGGGGAAGAUUCCUAAUGCUCGGAAGAAUUUGUUUUUGGACGAUGUGCUGUGUGAUUUGAACGAACUGAAAGAUGGUUUGGGCAAUUUGAUUCCAGGUUCUAAGAAAACAACGCGAAAUCAUUGAUGAUUUAUGUCAAUGGCCUUAAUAUGAUGGUUUCUUUUUUUUGGGUUGAACUGUGGUGGUUGUAAGUAGUUUGUAAUCAACAUGUUAAUACUUUUAUUCCAACGUAAUCUUCCAUUAGGUGAAUCGUUAAAAACCCAUUUUUUGGAAA